rnacentral:rRNA from 1 species
CCUACGGGUGGCAGCAGUGGGGAAUAUUGCACAAUGGGGGGAACCCUGAUGCAGCGACGCCGCGUGAGUGAAGAAGUAUUUCGGUAUGUAAAGCCCUAUCAGCAGGGAAGAAAAUGACGGUACCUGACUAAGAAUCCGCGGCUAACUACGUGCCAGCAGCCGCGGGAAUACGUAGGGGGCAAGCGUUAUCCGGAUUUACUGGGUGUAAAGGGAGCGUAGACGGUUAUGCAAGUCUGAAGUGAAAGCCCAAGGCUCAACCAUGGGACUGCUUUGGAAACUGUAAAACUGGAGUGAAGGAGAGGUAAGCGGAAUUCCUAGUGUAGCGGUGAAAUGCGUAGAUAUUAGGCGGAACACCAGUGGCGAAGGCGGCUUACUGGCCUGUAACUGACGUUGAGGCUCGAAGGCGUGGGGAGCAAACAGGAUUAGAUACCCUGGUAGUC